rnacentral:ribozyme from 1 species
UGCCCAGCAACUCCUAUCCCUACCUCCUCGUGGUACUGGCCGCGGUGUUACUCGUACUCGUACUUGGGGAAGAUCGGGUAACCAACUUUGGGGAACUUUGGUCGUAUGCUGACAGGGAGAG